UACGGAGGGUGCAAGCGUUAUCCGGAUUCACUGGGUUUAAAGGGUGCGUAGGUGGCGCCGUAAGUCGGGUGUGAAAUUUCGGAGCUUAACUCCGAAACUGCAUUCGAUACUGCGGUGCUUGAGGACUGGAGAGGAGACUGGAAUUCAUGGUGUAGCAGUGAAAUGCGUAGAGAUCAUGAGGAAGACCAGUGGCGAAGGCGGGUCUCUGGACAGUUCCUGACACUGAGGCACGAAGGCCAGGGGAGCAAGCGGG
rnacentral:rRNA from 1 species